rnacentral:lncRNA from 1 species
AUGCUUUCGCAGCCCUGUCCCUCCUCCUCCUUCUGCGGAGCAGCCUCCGCGCCGCGCUCCAGCCGCCCGGAGGUGCCUGCCCGGCCCAGCCCAGCCCGGCCCGGCCCGGCCCGGCACGGCCCGGCCCCUCCGGCCCCGGGCUGGCGGAGGGAGGCAGCGGGCACCCAGCCGCGGGGCCCCGGCCAGCCCCUCCGCCUUCCUCGGGGGGGCUCGGAGGGGGGCUCGGCUCUCCUCGCUGCCCCCCCGCCCCCGGCAGGAUGUUGCCCCCCUCCCGGACCCAGCUGGGGCUCUUCUUCAUCCUCCUCUGCCCCGCCAACAUCAUCGGGCUCUGGUGGGCAGUGGGGAGCCCCCUGGUCAUGGACCCCAACAGCAUCUGCCGCAAGACGAAGCGGCUGGCGGGGAAGCAGGCGGAGCUGUGCCAGCUGGAGCCGGAGAUCGUGCAGGAGGUGGCCAAGGGCACCAAGCUGGGCGUGCGGGAGUGCCAGUACCAAUUCCGCUUCCGCCGCUGGAACUGCACCAGCCACAGCAAGUAUUUCGGCAAGAUCCUGCAGCAGGGUAAGGCCGCCUCUUCCCCUGCCUCGCUGCUCCCCUAAAAAGCACCCCGUGCACAGCUCUGUGUGUGUGUGUGUGUGUGUGUGCGCGCAGAGGGGCUCGCUCGGUGCUCCUCUUGAGGUUUUACUGCCGGGACAUGUCUCCCCGUGUUGUAAUGAAGCAAUUAGCGAUGCUCCCAGACAGCGCGGGGCUUCACGCAGCCCAAGAAUGCACCCUCGUCUGGCAGUGAUUUACUGCUCCCCCCCGGGACCCCGCUGCGUGCAGGGGGGGAAGGGGCCUGGCGGGGAGGUGGCCGUGGGGAGCUGCCCCUCGCCCCGCAGGUGCCCGGAGCCUGCAGAUCCCUCGGAGCAGGGUGGGCACCCUGACAUCGCCCUGGACGUGCUUCCCAUGCCCAAAGGCCUUGGGGGGCAUGGGGUGGGGGGGAUGCUAAGGGUCCUUCACUGUCAGCUCCCUGUGAAGGUCCUGGCACAAGCCCCGGUCUCCUUGGCCACCGCAUCUCCCUGGCACGCACCAGAAGAGAGCAGGUACCCCCUUUGGUCAGGGUGGCGGUGCCCUGAGGACAGCAUUUUGCUGUUUUCCUCCUCCUUUCUGGAGGGACCGGCAAGGGCAGGGCACCUUGGGCACCCCACAGCUGCAGGCAUCAGCCGAGAGCUGCAGGCAUCAGCCGAGAGCUCCCCAGGAAACCCUCCCCACAGCACCUUCCAUCCACGGCGGGGUGGCUGGAGGCUGAGCUGCCUGCUGCUGGGGGCAGCCUCUCUCCCCGCGAGGAUGCUGUGCUGGCAACCUGAGAGCUCCUGAGGAUGAGGGUGAGCGUGUACCCGUGCUCUCACACCUCUGUACGCACAGCUGUGGGCUCAGCACCAUGUUGCACGUGCGUGUGUGGCACGUCUCCAACGCACACACGUGUUGCACACGCCUGGGUCAGGAUCUGUGUGGGGCACGGCAGAGCAAUGGGGCAGGAUGAACCCCCCGUCUCCCCUGCCCACCCCCGUGCAGCCUGUGCCACCCUCAGUGCCCUGGUCACAUCCUGGGGGUCACCACCCCGGGCCACCCCUGCCCUGGCACCCAGGGGCCCGCCUGGCACAGGGUGGGGGGUGUGUGGGAUCCCCCCGAGCAGGGCGCCGCGCCCCCGCUGCCAGAAUCCCCCGCUGGCUGCGGCUGCGAGCGGCAGGUCCGGGCAGGGGAAGGAUGCUUGGAAUUUGUGUCCCGGAGCAGAGAGAGACAGGAGCAAAUACUAAUAAUAAAUAAUCCUGCAGGGUGGAGGCUGCGCCGGUG